UUCUUUGGUUAUCUAGCUGUAUGAGUACCAAUUUGCUUUUCAUAAAGCUAGACGACCGAAGUA
rnacentral:pre_miRNA from 1 species